AUUGAACGCUGGCGGCAGGCUUAACACAUGCAAGUCGAGCGGGGAAGGGUAGCUUGCUACCUGACCUAGCGGCGGACAGGUGAGUAAUGCUUAGGAAUCUGCCUAUUAGUGGGGGACAACAUUCCGAAAGGAAUGCUAAUACCGCAUACGCCCUACGGGGGAAAGCAGGGGAUCUUCGGACCUUGCGCUAAUAGAUGAGCCUAAGUCAGAUUAGCUAGUUGGUGGGGUAAAGGCCUACCAAGGCGACGAUCUGUAGCGGGUCUGAGAGGAUGAUCCGCCACACUGGGACUGAGACACGGCCCAGACUCCUACGGGAGGCAGCAGUGGGGAAUAUUGGACAAUGGGCGAAAGCCUGAUCCUGCCAUGCCGCGUGUGUGAAGAAGGCCUUUUGGUUGUAAAGCACUUUAAGCGAGGAGGAGGCUACUUGGAUUAAUACUCUAGGAUAGUGGACGUUACUCGCAGAAUAAGCACCGGCUAACUCUGUGCCAGCCGCCGCCGUAA
rnacentral:rRNA from 1 species